AAUGGGAUAGUUCAGUUCGGUAGAACAUUGGAAUCAUAAUCCAAAUGCCGUGGGUUCAACUCCCUCUCUCAUUA
rnacentral:tRNA from 1 species